rfam:Eucalyptus grandis cultivar BRASTZ1 unplaced genomic scaffold scaffold_2, whole genome shotgun sequence.
UUUUGUGUAGUAUAGUGGUGAGUAUUCCCACUUGUCACGUGGGUGACUUGGGUUCGAUCCUUGACAUGAGAA